rnacentral:tRNA from 1 species
GGGUCGAUGCCCAAGCGGUUAACGGGUACGAAUUGUAAAUUCGUUGGCAAUAUGUCUACAUUGGUUCAAAUCUAGCUCGGCCCA